CCAUGGUGAAGGCUCCUGGGCUCUGCCUUUAGGGGACACGGAGGGGAUUCUGGUAGGUUAUUUCAGGAAGAAGAGCCUUGCUGUCUUCUGUUUUGCUUCUUAUUCCUCUGACUGUCAGCCUAGCAGUUAUCUUUCCGAACAGCGGGGAUUCCUUCCUGUAGAAGCGGCUGAAUCUGCUUUGUACAUGUUCACAUACUUGCAAAACCAGAUUCAUCAUGGCCCCUCUCCUCCACCAUGAAAAACAAUAGCAGCAGUAUGAUACCUCUUUUUCAGACUUUGGAUUUCAGGAUCAUGGGGACGCUCUUUUGUAGUCUGAGUCUCAGCUCUGUGGAACCCUUCUAAAUUUUAAUGAUUGAAACCACUUCCCUUCUUCUCCUUUAGCAACUCAUCCUGCAGUUGCUAACUCAAUGACCCCCUAGAGUUCUCUAUUAGCUUAUAGAUUAUCUAGCUAAUGAGUUUCUACUGAGUUAGCAAUUCUUUAUAUUAAAUUUCUCUGUUCAGAUAACUGGUACAGUUUCUGUUGCCUGACUGGAGUCUGACUGGUAUGCCAUAAUUACUCUAUGAGUCAGAUGAUCCUUUUUGCCUCCUACCAAUUUCUCCAGAAAAUGUAGAGCUCCUUCUGAGAAUCUUGAUAAGAUCAGCCCCAAACGAAGGGACACCUUCCAAUAGGCUCUGCACAUGAAAAAUUCAACUGCAGCUGAGUGCGAAGAAGGUAGAAAAUCUGAAUCCUCUCCAGCCACCCUCCACUGAUCCUAGGAAAAACCACCUUUUGCUGGUCGGGAAGCAGGAAAUAAAUUUAUGCCCGUGAUCCUGCACCAAUACAAAGAAGAAAUCUAAGGCUGCUGGGCAAUUUAUGCUGUUCAAUGCCCUCCUGAUGGAAUACAGGUAUUUCUGGAAAUUGGGAGACACUUCUCAUGAAAUCAGAAAGCCAUCCCAGUAUCAUCAGAUGGGAAAAUAUAGAUGGAGCCUAUGA
rnacentral:lncRNA from 1 species